GCCCCUCCCUGCCAGAGGUCCCGCCCCUCCCCGAGUUGGAGACCGAGGCCGAGCAGCGGAAGGAGCCGAGAGCUAGGGAUCGUGGCCGCACGUGGAGCGCUGCCCUUCCAGCCCCAUUCCGCCCCGGACCUAACCAAUAAUCCCGCGGAGGGGUGAAGGUGGCCCGCGCGGCGGCGAGCGGUACAGAAGGCAGCAAGAAAUGAUUUCAUUAACUCUAAAGACCCCAGGAGAGCGUGGAGGUUUCCUUGCCCCCUUUAGUAGUCAGGAGAAGUGACGUCCACUCCUCUGUUUUGCACACAUCUGGACCUGCAGCGGUGACUGGAAGGUUAGGGAGAGCGACCCCAGCUGGCUGCGAGGAUUGCCACCCACAGAACUACACACUGUGUUUGGUGUUCAGUGGGCGUUGCUGCUCUAAUGAGGGGGCGGUCGGUGUGUCUGGCUUUGCCAGGAUCUCCCUGUGUAUCCCUGGAUGUCCUGAAACUCACAGAAGAGACCUUGCUGCCUCUACCUCACAAAUGCCGGCAUUAAAGGCAGCCCCUGCUCUGCGGCAAACACGCUCUGCCUAUGCUCUUUUUACCCGUAUCUUCCGUGUAUUGAAUCUCUUCUUCAGGACCAAGUCUUGCCCUCCAAAUCUAAUCUUCCUCUUGGAAAAAGAAAAGUGUCCUUCAGAUGUAGUACUCGGAGGGAGGACCCUGGAAGGGGACACACAGCGGGGCAGAGCUCUUCAUGGCCAUCAGGAAGCAGAGAGAAAUAGAAGAGGUCCCACUCUCCUUCACGGCAACUCUGCAGAGGCAUAAACGUGCUUUUACUCCGCCUCACAUCCUGAAUGCUCCAGACUCCCCAGAAACAUCACAGAUUUCCCAUCUAGAUAUUCUGCCUGUCUAUUGGCUGAAACAACUUUAUUCAUCAACCAAUAAAAGUAAUACAUAUUCUCAGCAUAAAGGACAUCCCACACCAAAGUUUAAAUGUACUGACUUAUGAUUGGUUUCCAUUUAUUUCAAUCUUACAGCACAAUUUAGGAAAGAGCCAUCAUAGCUUGACGAUGAGGUUGGAUGUACCACUGUGGCUUUAAUAAAUUCAGGGACUAAAGAUCUAUUGGAAAAAACUCUGCUAUCAAUUGAGAAAACAAGUUUUAAAAAAUGAAAAAACAUAACUCAAGACACCUUCUUUAUUCAUCGUGUAUCUCUCUCGUUUCCUGCCUUUCUUAUCAUACUGUGAAAAACUGACUACACUAACAUUUUAUCUUACUUUUUCUUUUUAAAGAAAGUCACCUUUGAGGAAUGGGCUGGGGAGAAUUUUGAGACCUGAUGCCUCUUCCCUAACUAUGGUCUUCUAGGGAGAUCCUUCAGCUAAGCUGGCUACCAGAUGAGUAGUGACAAGAGGAAGAGACGCGGUGAGAAAGAGGGCGUGGCAAAGCUGACACUGUACCACGUGACCGGAAGGCAUAGCUCGCGCUGGCACAAGAUGAAACACUAAACAUGGAGCAUUUUGUCUGACUCCAGCAACGUAGAAAUUAGCUUUUUCUAGUUCUCGAAUAAAAUCCCCAGAGCUUGAGGGACCUCUGCAACUUUCCUGACAUCCCACCAUCAGGUAGUGUUCCAUCAGUUAAGCUCGAUCGGUGUGGGGUUCAAGAAAGCAGGUAUGCUAUGGACCUCCAGUCAGGCCUAAAGAGGAGGCAGGCUCCGCUGGAGGCAUGUCUGGACCCCGUGCGGUGAGAUGAGGGGGCAUGGAAGACACAAAAGGCUGGCAGGGUAGAUAGGGUUCCAGAGGGGCUUGAGCCAAGGCCAAGACCAAGCUGCCUUAAAUGAGUGGUAUCCAAGCCUGGACCUCAGUCAUUAGAGGUCUUAAUGAUGUUUAAAUCCUGCCUUAGUUUAAACGUGUGGCGAUUCAUGGAGUCACCAAGAACAUUGAUCAAAUGGGUUGCAGGCUCCCGUGGAUGUAAGAGGAUUUGCCUCGAGCCUCUGACAGACACACCUUCUGUUGCAAAGUUCAAGAACCAUGACAACAGGAAGCCUGGCACAGGGUCCUCCUCCUGGGUGUUCAGUACUUAACAGGAUUGUGAAUGACAGGAAUGGCUGGAGGAAUCCGUCUCUCGGUGGUCUCUCAUUAGUGACUGGUAAGUUUUCCCUCAUCAAGGCAGCAGGGACCGCAUCGGCUAGCUAUCAAGGUUGGUGCAUCUCUCCUCAGAAAAUCAGAAUACCUGAGCUCUUUUGGUCAUUUGAACCAAACUUUCAGUUAAGACCAGCUUUCUGAAGCAGUUACAGUUAGGAGGGUGGUUCAGUGCAGAGAACCCUGGGAACGUGAAUAAAUGCUUCUGGAAUCUAGGCCCAGCAGGUGGUCCUGAUGCAGAUUGGACUCUUUGGCUUAGUCUUGCCUGAGGACCCUCCUUCAGGAUGCUCCUACUUGGGAAGGCCACAGGCAGAAAGCUUCCCAUUCACCUUCAGCCGCUUGUACACACUGGGCAAUCCCCAGGACACACCAUGGCAUCAAGGCCCGGAGCCCCCUGAACUUUGGAAGGCUGCAGUGGCUCAUUAUUGAAAUCCCAUCUUGGCAUAUUUUCCUUCUACAUGGCUAGAGUGUAGUGGAUAGCAGAAUGGAGGAGAGAGAAGACAUCCAGGCUAUUCUAGCCCUGCUCUCUCCCCCUCACACACAGCUACUCAAUCCUACCAAUUUGUGCUGCCUAAAUACUUCAGUUCUUUUUAACCAUCUUGGGGAGGGGGAGGAUGAAGUAUUACACCAGCUAUCGAAGCAAAGCUUGGAGGACAAGGAGUUGCUGAGGCAGAAAAUUCCCAAGUGGCUGACUUGAUGGAUGAUAGGACAUUGUCUCCUGGGGAUGUAAUGAUUCCAGGCUGCUUUUCAGCAACCAAAAAUAAACCUUCCCUCUGCACAACGGGCAGGCGAAGAGCUUAACAUCUACAUCUGCAGCUUAAGUCUGUUUCCUUUCCUGGGCUUCCCAGGCUCCGACUCAGGUCCUCUCAUGUUGGCCUUCAAAUCUGGAGCAGGACCGUGGGAAGGACCCUGGGAUAAUUGCUUUUUGGUUGAGCAUCUUUCAUCUGAGGAUCUUUAAGUACUUUAUAAACACUAAUUAAAUUGCCACAACAAGCAACAUUUUAGAAUGCAUAAUGACUGUCUAGCACCCCAACUCUGGGCCAACUCCUUAAAGAUGGGGAACUGAAGGAUGGCAUGGCUAGACUUCAGAGGCUGACUUAUCACAGAGGAGAGGCCCCAAGGUGAGUGUUCCUCAUUUCCAGUCUGUACAGAAGAGGACCAAAGCCAUGGAGAGUCAUGUGAUCCUUACGCAAAUACACACUAUGAAUUACUACGACUGGAAAGACAAUAAUAUGUCUACGUGCAAACUGUAAAAACUGCAAUACUGAUACCACUUUAAACAUUCUUUCCUGUUCCAAGAAACUUAGCAUCUUUUUGUUUCAGUUUUCCACUUAUAAAAUGGUGACGGACAGGACCCCCAAAUCUCUUACACAGUUGGGCAUUCUAAAACCUAAAGAAAGUACUUGUGUGCCUCCCAGUGACGACGACACACCCCCAGAUUGAAGUCUACCACUUUUACCAUUCAGGGUUUUCAUGACUAGGAGUGUCUGCUUUCUAUUUUGUUCCAGGAUGUUAGCCUCUAAGAUGCUCUGUUAUCAGGCAACCCCACUGCAGUAAGACUUCUCUGAGCCCCGGAUUCCUCACAGAGCUGGUAGGAGAAUUGAGUGAUGGGUUUAGAGCCAUGCUCAUAAGACAGACUGAUUAACAAUGAUUAAAAAUGGUGUUCACUUUUCUGAAUUUAAGAAACAAAACCAGCUGAGGCACUUCUCCAUGCAAAGCUUCCAUGUUGCUCUGUUUUUGAAAAAUUAUUUUGGAGUAUCUCCACUUGGGUUAUCCUCUCCAAUCAACCAACCACACACACACACACACACACACACACACACACACACACACACAGAGUUACUAGUAGCUAAUCUUUAUUUUUCUAAUUAUUUUACUAUUUCCCCCUUUAAAAUUUGUAAUUUAGACUCAAGUCUGAUGGGAGAAAAUAAUCAAGAGGGGAAAAAUUACAGCCUGGCUUUUGAAUUUCUCCUCUGUCCUGUGAGUUAUCCCCAGAGGCAAUUCCAGGCAAGGGCUUGCAUAAACAUUUAGAAUAAAAUGGUGGGCAGUCAUGGGAAGGUGGAACUUCCUGGGCUUGUUAGUGGAAAGAUGGUCUUCAUCUAUGCUUGACUUAAGAAAAAAAAGAUGUGUGUGAGCCCAGCACUUGGGAGGCAGAGGCAGGUGGG